ACGGCCAGAGAUGGUCGCCCCCUUGUGGUCGGUGUACAGGUGGAGCAUGGUUGUCAGCUCGUGUCGUGAGAUGUUGGGUUAAGUCCCGCAACGAGCGCAACCCUUAUUAUUAGUUGCCAGCAUUCAGUUGGGCACUCUGGUCAGACUGCCGGUGACAAACCGGAGGAAGGCGGGGAUGACGUCAAAUCAUCAUGCCCCUUAUGACCUGGGCUACACACGUGCUACAAUGGGUGGUACAACGAGCAGCGAGACCGCGAGGUCAAGCGAAUCUCUAAAAGCCGGUCUCAGUUCGGAUUGAGGUCUGCAACUCGACCUCAUGAAGUCGGAGUCGCUAGUAAUCGCAGAUCAGCAACGCUGCGGUGAAUACGUUCCCGGGUCUUGUACACACCGA
rnacentral:rRNA from 1 species